UAACACAUGCAAGUCGAGCGGUAGCACGGGAGAGCUUGCUCUCUGGGUGACGAGCGGCGGACGGGUGAGUAAUGUCUGGGGAUCUGCCUGAUGGAGGGGGAUAACUACUGGAAACGGUAGCUAAUACCGCAUAACGUCGCAAGACCAAAGAGGGGGACCUUCGGGCCUCUUGCCAUCAGAUGAACCCAGAUGGGAUUAGCUAGUAGGUGGGGUAAUGGCUCACCUAGGCGACGAUCCCUAGCUGGUCUGAGAGGAUGACCAGCCACACUGGAACUGAGACACGGUCCAGACUCCUACGGGAGGCAGCAGUGGGGAAUAUUGCACAAUGGGCGCAAGCCUGAUGCAGCCAUGCCGCGUGUAUGAAGAAGGCCUUCGGGUUGUAAAGUACUUUCAGCGAGGAGGAAGGCGUUAAGGUUAAUAACCUUAGCGAUUGACGUUACUCGCAGAAGAAGCACCGGCUAACUCCGUGCCAGCAGCCGCGGUAAUACGGAGGGUGCAAGCGUUAAUCGGAAUUACUGGGCGUAAAGCGCACGCAGGCGGUUUGUUAAGUCGGAUGUGAAAUCCCCGGGCUCAACCUGGGAACUGCAUUCGAAACUGGCAAGCUUGAGUCUUGUAGAGGGGGGUAGAAUUCCAGGUGUAGCGGUGAAAUGCGUAGAGAUCUGGAGGAAUACCGGUGGCGAAGGCGGCCCCCUGGACAAAGACUGACGCUCAGGUGCGAAAGCGUGGGGAGCAAACAGGAUUAGAUACCCUGGUAGUCCACGCCGUAAACGAUGUCGACUUGGAGGUUGUGCCCUUGAGGCGUGGCUUCCGGAGCUAACGCGUUAAGUCGACCGCCUGGGGAGUACGGCCGCAAGGUUAAAACUCAAAUGAAUUGACGGGGGCCCGCACAAGCGGUGGAGCAUGUGGUUUAAUUCGAUGCAACGCGAAGAACCUUACCUACUCUUGACAUCCAGAGAACUUUCCAGAGAUGGAUUGGUGCCUUCGGGAACUCUGAGACAGGUGCUGCAUGGCUGUCGUCAGCUCGUGUUGUGAAAUGUUGGGUUAAGUCCCGCAACGAGCGCAACCCUUAUCCUUUGUUGCCAGCGGUUCGGCCGGGAACUCAAAGGAGACUGCCAGUGAUAAACUGGAGGAAGGUGGGGAUGACGUCAAGUCAUCAUGGCCCUUACGAGUAGGGCUACACACGUGCUACAAUGGCGCAUACAAAGAGAAGCGACCUCGCGAGAGCAAGCGGACCUCAUAAAGUGCGUCGUAGUCCGGAUUGGAGUCUGCAACUCGACUCCAUGAAGUCGGAAUCGCUAGUAAUCGUAGAUCAGAAUGCUACGGUGAAUACGUUCCCGGGCCUUGUACACACCGCCCGUCACACCAUGGGAGUGGGUUGCAAAAGAAGUAGGUAGCUUAACCUUCGGGAGGGCGCUUACCACUUUGUGAUUCAUGACUGGGGUGAA
rnacentral:rRNA from 1 species